UCUGGUUCCAGUGUCCUGGCUUAG
rnacentral:misc_RNA from 1 species